rnacentral:rRNA from 1 species
UACGUAGGGGGCAAGCGUUGUCCGGAUUUAUUGGGCGUAAGAGCGUGUAGGCGGCCUUACAGGUCAGCUGUGAAAACUCGAGGCUCAACCUCGAGACGUCGGUUGAAACCGUAAGGCUAGAGUCCGGAAGAGGAGAGUGGAAUUCCCGGUGUGGCGGUGAAAUGCGCAGAUAUCGGGAAGAACACCCGUGGCGAAGGCGGCUCUCUGGGACGGUACUGACGCUGAGACGCGAAAGCGUGGGGAGCGAACAGG